rnacentral:rRNA from 1 species
GAUUAGAGUUUGAUCCUGGCUCAGAUUGAACGCUGGCGGCAUGCUUUACACAUGCAAGUCGAACGGUAACAGGCCUUCGGGUGCUGACGAGUGGCGAACGGGUGAGUAAUGCAUCGGAACAUACCCAGUCGUGGGGGAUAACGUAGCGAAAGUUACGCUAAUACCGCAUACGUCCUGAGGGAGAAAGCGGGGGAUCGCAAGACCUCGCGCGAUUGGAGUGGCCGAUGUCAGAUUAGCUAGUUGGUGGGGUAAAGGCCUACCAAGGCGACGAUCUGUAGCGGGUCUGAGAGGAUGAUCCGCCACACUGGGACUGAGACACGGCCCAGACUCCUACGGGAGGCAGCAGUGGGGAAUUUUGGACAAUGGGGGAAACCCUGAUCCAGCCAUGCCGCGUGCGGGAAGAAGGCCUUCGGGUUGUAAACCGCUUUCAGCCGGAAAGAAAUCGCACGGACUAAUACUCUGUGUGGAUGACGGUACCGGAAGAAGAAG